AAACGCUUGAAGUCAGUCGCGUUAGCUAGAAAUCAGCCUUGCUCUGCUUGGUGUACUUUCUAGUUGACGGGUCAACAUCAGUUUUGAUCAUUGGAUAAGGAUGAAGGGAAUGUGGCUCCUUUAGGAGUGUUAUAGCCUUUUAUCGUAUACAGUGGUUGGGACUGAGGCUCUCAGCACGCUUCUAGUUGUGCUUAGGAUGUUGGCAUAAUGGCUUUAAGCGA
rnacentral:rRNA from 1 species